AUUUUAUGACAGUUUAAUCAAGUAAAAUGAGUAUCUAUUUUAAUAUUGCUUUUUUUUAUGAUUAUUUCAGACUUAUAACAGCCAGUCAUUUAACAAACACUCACCUGAUCCUCCCUAUGGUGAGGUUGUACAACUGGAUGUGUUGGAUGAUCUCGUCCAACAAUCUGUCCGUCAUGGCGUCAAAGUCAGCAAAGGUGUCGACCUGCAGCAAGACGAUGAAGUUGUUGUUGUUGUUGAUGAACAUCAGGUGGCUCGCGAAGGUUGAGACGAUGCCAAAGGAGCCCAGUGGCUGAUGGGUAAUGGGCGAGGCGGUGUGGCGAGUGGACAGGCCGCUGAUGGAGGGCGAGUCUCUGAGGACGGAGGAGAAGGGCAGACAUGUUGGGGCGCAGGACAUGUUGACCACCUCCACCAUCUUCUUGUUGACGAAGGCCAGGCCGGAGUUGUUGCUGCGGCCUUGUUGUGUUCUCUGAAGGACAUUUUCCUUCCCGGCACUGAGACGGAUCUGCUCCACCGAGACGCCGAGGUCGUCGUCAGGGGGAAGACGGAGGUCCUCCGUGGACCCCUGACUGUCUUUGUUGCCUUGACGAC